rnacentral:rRNA from 1 species
AGGCCCAAACGUUAUUCGGAAUUACUGGGCUUAAAGAGUUCGUAGGCGGCAUGAAAAGUAGGGUGUGAAAGCCCUCGGCUUAACCGAGGAAUUGCGCUCUAAACUGUCGUGCUUGAGGAACCUAGAGGUGAGCAGAACAGAUGGUGGAGCGGUGAAAUGCGUUGAUAUCAUCUGGAAUACCGGAGGCGAAGGCGGCUCACUGGGAGUUUUCUGACGCUGAGGAACGAAAGCCAGGGUAGCGAACGGG